UUAACCGUAUAGGGGAGCCGGAGGGAAACCGAGUCUUAACUGGGCGUUAAGUUGCAGGGUAUAGACCCGAAACCCGGUGAUCUAGCCAUGGGCAGGUUGAAGGUUGGGUAACACUAACUGGAGGACCGAACCGACUAAUGUUGAAAAAUUAGCGGAUGACCUGUGGCUGGGGGUGAAAGGCCAAUCAAACCGGGAGAUAGCUGGUUCUCCCCGAAAGCUAUUUAGGUAGCGCCUCGUGAAUUCAUCUCCGGGGGUAGAGCACUGUUUCGGCUAGGGGGCCAUCCCGGCUUACCAACCCGAUGCAAACUGCGAAUACCGGAGAAUGUUAUCACGGGAGACACACGGCGGGUGCUAACGUCCGUCGUGAAGAGGGAAACAACCCAGACCGCCAGCUAAGGUCCCAAAGUCAUGGUUAAGUGGGAAACGAUGUGGGAAGGCCCAGACAGCCAGGAUGUUGGCUUAGAAGCAGCCAUCAUUUAAAGAAAGCGUAAUAGCUCACUGGUCGAGUCGGCCUGCGCGGAAGAUGUAACGGGGCUAAACCAUGCACCGAAGCUGCGGCAGCGACGCUGAUGCGUUGUUGGGUAGGGGAGCGUUCUGUAAGCCUGUGAAGGUGGCCUGUGAGGGUUGCUGGAGGUAUCAGAAGUGCGAAUGCUGACAUAAGUAACGAUAAAGCGGGUGAAAAGCCCGCUCGCCGGAAGACCAAGGGUUCCUGUCCAACGUUAAUCGGGGCAGGGUGAGUCGACCCCUAAGGCGAGGCCGAAAGGCGUAGUCGAUGGGAAACGGGUUAAUAUUCCCGUACUUGGUGUUACUGCGAAGGGGGGACGGAGAAGGCUAUGUUGGCCGGGCGACGGUUGUCCCGGUUUAAGCGUGUAGGCUGGUUUUCCAGGCAAAUCCGGAAAAUCAAGGCUGAGGCGUGAUGACGAGGC
rnacentral:rRNA from 1 species